AUACGUAGGGGACGAGCGUUGUCCGGAAUUAUUGGGCGUAAAGAGUGAGCAGGCGGUUAAUUAAGUCUGAGGUUAAAGCGUGGGGCUCAACCCCAUAAAGCCUUGGAAACUGAUUGACUAGAGUACGGGAGAAGUGAAGGGAACCCCAUGUGUAGCGGUGAAAUGCGUAGAUAUAUGGAAGAACACCAGUGGCGAAGGCGCUUCACUAGCCCGAAACUGACGCUCAGUCACGAAAGCGUGGGUAGCAAAUAGGAUUAGAUACCCUAGUAGUCCACGCUGUAAACGAUGACAACUAAAUAUUGCCGCGAGGCAGUGUUGAAGCUAACGCAUUAAGUUGUCCGCCUGGGGAGUACGGUCGCAAGACUGAAACUUAAAGGAAUUGACGGGG
rnacentral:rRNA from 1 species